UACGAAGGGGGCUAGCGUUGCUCGGAAUCACUGGGCGUAAAGGGCGCGUAGGCGGCCUGAUCAGUCGGGGGUGAAAGCCUGUGGCUCAACCACAGAAUGGCCUUCGAUACUGUCAGGCUUGAGACCGGAAGAGGUAAGUGGAACUGCGAGUGUAGAGGUGAAAUUCGUAGAGAUCCGGAGGAACACCAGUGGCGAAGGCGACACGCUGGGCCGUACCUGACGCUAAAGCGCGACAGCAUGGGGAGCAAACGGG
rnacentral:rRNA from 1 species